GGCCGCUCUAGCCGGUGAGGCCGGCGGACUCUCUAUGGCGGCGGCUGGGGAGCUGCGCGGAGGCGGAGCCCGGCCGGGGACAAGCGGGCCGCGCUCUGGUCGCACAGCUCCUCUCCCAGGCCCCGGGACCCGCCCCUGCCUUCCUGGGGAAACCAGCAUCCCUGCCUCAGGAUGGACGAGGAGAGCCUGGAGACGGCCCUCCAGACCUAUCGUGCACAGCUGCAGCAGGUGGAGCUGGCCCUGGACGCCGGCCUGGAUCCCUCAGAGCAGGCCGACCUGCGCCAGCUGCAAGGGGACCUGAAGGAGCUGAUCGAGCUCACUGAGGCCAGCCUGGUGUCCGUCCGGAAGAGCAAGCUGCUGGCCGCACUGGAUGAAGAGCCCCCAGCCCAGGCAGAUGCAGAGUACCUGGCUUUCCAGAAGGCCAUUGCUGAGGAGGUGGAGGUGCCAGCAGCCCCUGCAGGAGAAUUGGAGACUGUUCCUGCAAGAGAAGCAGGGCCAGAGCCCUCCAAAGGCAGGCAGGAGGAGGAAGAGAGAGAGGACAGUGGCGAUGACGAGGACGAGUUGAGCGGGACGAAGGUGAACGCCCCCUACUACAGCUCGUGGGGCACCCUGGAGUACCACAGCGCCAUGGUCGUGGGCGCGGAGGAGGCUGCAGACGGCUCGGCAGGAGUCCGGGUGCUGUACCUCUACCCCACGCACAAGUCCCUGAAGCCCUGCCCUUUCUUCCUGGAGGGGAAGUGCCGCUUCAAGGAGAACUGCAGGUUCUCCCACGGGCAGGUGGUCUCUCUGGAUGAGCUACGUCCCUUCCAGGACCCGGACCUGAGCUCCCUGCAGGCCGGCUCUGCGUGUCUGGCCAAGCACCAGGACGGCCUCUGGCACUCUGCACGCAUCACUGAUGUGGACAGCGGCUACUACACAGUCAAGUUCGACUCGCUGCUGCUGCGGGAGGCUGUGGUGGAGGGGGACAGCAUCCUGCCUCCACUGCGCACGGAGGCUGCAGAGUCCUCCGACUCGGACAGCGGCGGCGUGGAUGACUCCAGCUAUGCCCGAGGUGUGGCAGCAGCUCACGGUGCCGAGGCCAGGAAGUGGUGGAAUCCGGCCCUGCGGACCCCGGGACCUGCAGCUCCGCCUUCGCGGGCUGGGAGGUGCACACGCGAGGCAUCGGCUCCAGGCUCCUCGCCAAGAUGGGCUACGAGUUUGGCAAGGGCCUGGGCCGGCACGCGGAGGGCCGAGUGGAGCCCAUCCACGCCGUGGUGCUGCCUCGAGGAAAGUCGCUGGACCGGUGCGCAGAGAUCCUGCAGAAGCGGACCAAGGGUGGCAAGGCUGGCGCCACCAGGCCCCCCAGGUGCCGGGGGAGGGCUGGUAGGCCUGGAGGCCGCCCGCCACCUCGGAAUGUGUUUGACUUCCUGAACGAAAAGCUGCAAGGCCAGGCUUCAGGGGCCCUGGAGGCUGGGGAGGCCACACCAGGGAGCAAGAGCAAGGACAUGUAUCAUGCCAGCAAGAGCGCCAAGCGGGCCCUGAGCUUGCGGCUCUUCCAGACCGAGGAGAAGAUCGAGCGGACCCAGCGGGACAUCCGGGGCAUCCAGGAGGCCCUCGCCCGAAAUGCCGGCCGGCACAGCGUGGCGGCAGCCCAGCUGGAGGAGAAGCUGGCAGGAGCCCAGCGGCAGCUGGGGCAGCUCCGGGCUCAGGAGGCGGGCCUGCAGCGGGAGCAGAGGAAGGCCGACACCCACAAGAAGAUGACUGAGUUCUAGAGACCCACGAGCACCAUGGACAGAGCAUGGGACCCCAGCGUGGGCUGCCCUCAGGAAGGCCUGCUCUCACCGCAGUACCUCAGACGCCCCUGAAGAGGGGCCAGCCCACUCCCAGGCGAGCCCGCUCAGUUGGCCUUGCUGGCCCAGGACUUGCAGAUGCUGC